AACGAACGCUGGCGGCGUGUUUAAGACAUGCAAGUCGCACGGGAUAAGACAUGUAGUAAUACUUGUUUUAUUUAGUGGCGCACGGGUGAGUAACACGUGAAUUACAUGCCCUAUAGUGGGGAAUAGCCCAGGGAAACUUGGAUUAAUACCCCAUGGUCUCGCAAGAUUAAAGGGGGCCGCAAGGCUGUCGCUAUAGGAGUGGUUCGCGCCCUAUCAGCUCGUUGGUGAGGUAACGGCUCACCAAGGCAAUGACGGGUACCUGGUCUGGGAGGACGAUCAGGCACACUGGAACUGAGACACGGUCCAGACACCUACGGGUGGCAGCAGGCGAGAAUAAUUCACAAUGGGGGCAACCCUGAUGGUGCAACGCCGCGUGGAGGAUGACGGUCUUCGGAUUGUAAACUCCUGUCAUCUGGGAGAAAGACCUGACGGUAAAUAGCCGGCAGGGUUGAUAGUACCAGAAGAGGAAGGGACGGCUAACUUCGUGCCAGCCGCCGCAGUAA
rnacentral:rRNA from 1 species